GGUUUUCAACCUGGUUUUUUGAAUAUAAUUUAAAAUUUUUUUUGCCCCACUGAUAUUAUUAAAUGGCCGCAGUAUUUUGACUGUGCAAAGGUAGCAUAAUAAUUUGUUCUAUAAUUGAGGACUAGUAUGAAUGAGGGGAUGAAAUAAUUACUUUAUUAUUUUUAAAAAUUGAAAUUAAUUUUAAGUUAAAAUUCUUAAAUUUAAUUAAAAGACGAGAAGACCCUAUAGAAUUUUAAUUAUUUUUUUUUUAAAUUUAAAUAUAUAUUAUUAAUUAAAUUUAUUAUUAAAUAUAAUUUUUACUGGGGCGAGUUAAUUAAUUUAACUAAAUUAAUUAUAAAGUGACUAUUAAUUAAUGAAUUAAAUUAAAUUUUUAAAAUUACUAAAAUAAAUUACCUUAGGGAUAACACCGUAAUAUUUUCGGAAAAAUCUAAUUGAUGAAAAGGAUGGCAACCUCGUUG
rnacentral:rRNA from 1 species